rnacentral:rRNA from 1 species
UACAGAGGUCUCAAGCGUUGUUCGGAUUCAUUGGGCGUAAAGGGUGUGUAGGUGGCGCCGUAAGUCGGGUGUGAAAUUUCGGAGCUUAACUCCGAAACUGCAUUUGAUACUGCGGUGCUUGAGGACUGGAGAGGAGACUGGAAUUCACGGUGUAGCAGUGAAAUGCGUAGAUAUCGUGAGGAAGACCAGUGGCGAAGGCGGGUCUCUGGACAGUUCCUGACACUGAGGCACGAAGGCUAGGGGAGCAAACGGG